UACAGAGGGGGCAAGCGUUAUUCGGAAUUAUUGGGCGUAAAGGGCGCGUAGGCGGCCUGACAAGUGGAAGGUGAAAUCCCUCGGCUUAACCGAGGAACUGCCCUCCAAACUGUUUGGCUUGAGUCCGGGAGAGGUGAGUGGAAUUCCCAGUGUAGCGGUGAAAUGCGUAGAUAUUGGGAGGAACACCAGUGGCGAAGGCGGCUCACUGGACCGGAACUGACGCUGAGACUCGAAAGCGUGGGGAGCAAACAGG
rnacentral:rRNA from 1 species